rnacentral:rRNA from 1 species
CCGGGGGGGGCAGCUACACAUGCAGUCGAGCGGCAGCGGGGAGUAGCUUGCUACUUUGCCGGCGAGCGGCGGACGGGUGAGUAAUGCUUGGGAACUUGCCUUUAGGAGGGGGAUAACCACGGGAAACUGUGGCUAAUACCGCAUAAUGUCUACGGACCAAAGCAGGGGCUCUUCGGACCUUGCACCUAGAGAUAGGCCCAAGUGAGAUUAGCUAGUUGGUGGGGUAAAGGCCCACCAAGGCGACGAUCUCUAGCUGUUCUGAGAGGAUGAUCAGCCACACUGGGACUGAGACACGGCCCAGACUCCUACGGGAGGCAGCAGUGGGGAAUAUUGCACAAUGGGGGAAACCCUGAUGCAGCCAUGCCGCGUGUGUGAAGAAGGCCUUCGGGUUGUAAAGCACUUUCAGUGGUGAGGAAGGAUGUAAGAUUAAUACUCUUGCAUAUUGACGUUAGCCACAGAAGAAGCACCGGCUAACUCCGUGCCAGCAGCCGCGGUAAU